AUGUUAAAGAGAGCACAUGGGGUGCUGUGCUCAGCUCUGAGCUGUCCACGCCCUGAUACGAAGAGCUGGGGAGCUCUUGACUGGACCAGACACCUGCCUCCAGCAAGGUCGGCUCCUCGCCUCUCGUCACUGGCUUUCCUUGUAGAGGCCGCUUUUCUUGCCCACCGACCUGCCUGGCUUUCCGACUCAUCAGCUCACCUUGACUGCAGGAAGUGCAUCUCCGCCAGUCGAGUGGCCAGCUAAGACACGAUGACUUGAAAACCAGAGGAAGAAGAGCAAAGUCAAGCUGAGACGCGGAUCCUGGUCUUCUGAUGAAACGAGGGGAGGGGGGGUG
rnacentral:lncRNA from 12 species